rnacentral:rRNA from 1 species
GAUGAACGCUGGCGGCGUGCCUAAUACAUGCAAGUAGAACGCUGAAGGAAGGAGCUUGCUCUUUCCGGAUGAGUUGCGAACGGGUGAGUAACGCGUAGGUAACCUGCCUGGUAGCGGGGGAUAACUAUUGGAAACGAUAGCUAAUACCGCAUAACAGUAGAUGUUGCAUGAUAUCUACUUAAAAGGUGCAAUUGCACCACUACCAGAUGGACCUGCGUUGUAUUAGCUAGUUGGUGAGGUAACGGCUCACCAAGGCGACGAUACAUAGCCGACCUGAGAGGGUGGUCGGCCACACUGGGACUGAGACACGGCCCAGACUCCUACGGGAGGCAGCAGUAGGGAAUCUUCGGCAAUGGACGGAAGUCUGACCGAGCAACGCCGCGGGAGUGAAGAAGGUUUUCGGAUCGUAAAGCUCUGUUGUAAGAGAAGAACGAGUGUGAGAGUGGAAAGUUCACACUGUGACGGUAUCUUACCAGAAAGGGACGGCUAACUACGUG